rnacentral:tRNA from 1 species
CGGGCCGUAGUGUAAUGGUAGCACGAGUGCUUUGGGAGUAUUUAGUCCGGGUUCAAAUCCCGGCGGCCCGA